ensembl:lncRNA
GUAUUUUCUUUCAUGUUCUUUUGAAGUAAAUAUAAUCAGAGAUUUUUAUUUUUUCUAUUGGUUACUCCUCAGCUCCAUGUAUUAGGAGUAAUUCUAUUUAAUUAGUUAGUUUGAAGUGGCACAGCAUUUAGAGGGAAGAAGCAUAUGGUUGGACCCAAAGAAAACAUAACUGAAUACAUUUUUAGAAGAACAGACUUUAAUAAGAUGCUCAUAUUACCUUCUGAGGCCUUAAAGAUCAAAAGUGAUAGCAUAAAAUUCUGAAACACCAUUGGUGCCAGCAUUUUAAAAAGAGUAUGUAUUUGACCCAGAGGCUUGAGAGUCUGGGACAGACAGAGGCAGCAUAAAUAUUUCCUUUAAAAAACAUCUUGCUGAUGAUAGGAGCCUCUAGGGAGAGUUUAGUGAAAGCUUAUUUGCUUCAGUCUUUCCAGUGUCCAUAGGAAAAGAAAUACUUCAACAGAGUUCAUUUGAAAUGGGACAGAAUCAAUCUUUUUUCUUUUUCUUUAAGAAAAAUAACUUUCAGGAAAGGAACUUGCAGGUGUUGCAUACAUGAGCAACACAUACUGCCUGAAUUUUUUAAUCAAUCCCUUGAAAAUAUUCUAUAAAUAAGGGAAUCUAAACACACUGAAAAGGGUUCUUAUCUCAGACUUACAGAUUUUAACCCUUUGUUUGCCUCUGAAAUCUCCAGCCCCUAUCUUGUUUACCUGUUACUGCCAUAUUGUUUUCUUUCAGCAGUACAUGAAAAAAUCUGACAACCAUUUGUCACCUGCAACUAAAUAUCCAGUUCAGAAUACCCUCUGCACUAUCAAUUGCUCCAUAUACAAACUUAUACAUCAUUUACUUUUGGGAGAAUGACAGCAGCAUGGAAAGGGCACUGAAUAAAAAAGCUACAGGUUAAGGGUUGUUAUUUGCCUGGGGGGAUUGCUGACAAAGCACAUGGCAGAGGUUCAAAACAUCGACAAAGAUCCUUCAGCCUUUGUCCCAACAACCCAUCUUUGGAGCUUGCACAAACACUUGCUGAGACCCGAUUGUUCAUUACAAUCAAUACAUGUACAAAAUCUGCUUCUAAAAACAAAGAAACUGCCUAGAAGAAUCAUUACCUGACUGGCCAAGACCUCACUGUGCAACAGUCCAACUAUAAAGUUCCUGAAGUCAUUUAUUCCUCUUCACAGUAGGGCAAAGCUUAAUGGAAAACUCUUCAUAGAUGAAAGCCACCUAUUACACUCAGUUCAACUUUUAGAAUAAACAUAAUUCACAUCUCCUCUCUUUCUGCAGCUGCUACUUCAUAUAACAACCAGUAGCAAGCUACUUAAAAACCUCAAUAACUUGAAUCUAACAGCCACAUCAGUAUUUCUUCUUCUAUUCAUGAAAAUCCACAAACUUAAACCACAACAGCAAAAAAGUUUCUUCUUUCUAACAUCAUUAUUUUAGAAUAUAUGAUUUAUCCAUUUCCCUUGGUUUGAAACAGCAACAUAAAAAUUUCAGUUUGUAGGAGCUGCUGGAGUUUUGUGUGCCAUAAAAAGAAAUUGAAAAGCAAUUUAGCCAACAAAACAACUUCAUUUAAAAUGCCAUAUUGGAAUUUUCAGCUUUGAUCACAUGUUCACUUCUGUGUUUUCUUCUUAAGUGAACAGGGAGACAAACACAGCUUAAUGCCAAAAAGUAAUGGAAAACACAGCAAUAGCAGGGCAGCAAACUCC